AUUGAACGCUGGCGGCAGGCCUAACACAUGCAAGUCGAGCGAGCGGAGGACGGGAGAGUAAUGCCUGGGAAUUGCCCAGUCGAGGGGGAUAACCGUUGGAAACGACUGCUAAUACCGCAUACGAUUCGAUUGCGCAGGUGGGAUUAGCUGGUGGGUGAGGUAAUGGCUCACCAAGGCGACGAGCCCUAGAUGGUCUGAGAGGCUGAUCAGCCACACUGGAACUGAGACACGGUCCAUACUCCUACGGGAGGCAGCAGUGGGGAAUAUUGCACUAUGGGGGAAACCCUGAUGCAGCCAUGCCGCGUGUGUGAAGAAGGCCUUCGGGUUGUAAAGCACUGUCAGCGAGGAGGCGGUACUCGCAGAAGAAGCACCGGCUAACUCCGUGCCAGCAGCCGCGGUAAUUC
rnacentral:rRNA from 1 species